CCCUCUGGGCAGUGGCUGGCAGCAGAAACACACACGCAGCAGACACACUCGGCUUCCUCGCCUGGAGAGCCGGGAGAGAGCAGUCUCUUCUGUUAUACUCCCAGUGUACUUCCAUCUGCAGCACACAGGACAUCACAGAUUGUCAACGCUGUCACACAGUACUGCUCUGGUUAUUCCUCGUGGUUAUCUUUGCUCCUCAGGGAGAUGACGGAGUUUCGCUCUUGUUGCCCAGGCUGGAGUGC
rnacentral:lncRNA from 1 species